ACGGUCCUAAGGUAGCGAAAUUCCUUGUCGGGUAAGUUCCGACCCGCACGAAAGGCGUAAUGAUUUGAGCACUGUCUCGACAAUGCACCCGGUGAAAUUGAAGUACCAGUGAAGAUGCUGGUUACCUGCGCCAGGACGGAAAGACCCCAUGGAGCUUUACUCUAGUUUGGUACUGGGGUCCGGUAUUGCAUGUACAGGAUAGGUGGGAGACUGAGAAGUGUGAACGCCAGUUUGCACGGAGUCAUUGUUGGGAUACCACCCCUGCAGUAUUGGGCUUCUAACAGGUAGCCGUAAACCGGCUAAUGGACAAUGCCAGGCGGGGAGUUUGACUGGGGCGGUCGCCUCCGAAAGGGUAUCGGAGGCGCUCAAAGGUUCCCUCAGAAUGGUUGGAAACCAUUCGAAGAGUGCAAAGGCAGAAGGGAGCUUGACUGCGAGACUGACGGGUCGAGCAGGUACGAAAGUAGGACUUAGUGAUCCGGUGGCAUAAAGUGGGAUUGCCAUCGCUCAACGGAUAAAAGCUACCCUGGGGAUAACAGGCUUAUCACUCCCAAGAGUUCACAUCGACGGAGUGGUUUGGCACCUCGAUGUCGGCUCAUCGCAUCCUGGGGCUGUAGCAGGUCCCAAGGGUUGGGCUGUUCGCCCAUUAAAGCGGUACGCGAGCUGGGUUCAGAACGUCGUGAGACAGUUCGGUCCCUAUCCGGCGUGGGCGGAGGAUAUUUGAGAGGAGCUGUCCUUAGUACGAGAGGACCGGGAUGGACGAACCUCUGGUGUAUCGGUUGGAUUGCCAAAUCCAUGGCCGAGUAGCCAAGUUUGGAAGGGAUAAACGCUGAAGGCAUCUAAGCGUGAAGCCCCCCUCAAGAUGAGAUAUCCCUGCAUAUGCAGUAAGACCCCUUGAAGACUACGAGGUAGAUAGGUCAGAGGUGGAAGUGCAGUAAUGCAUGUAGCUGACUGAUACUAAUAGGUCGAGGGCUUGACCAA
rnacentral:rRNA from 1 species